UCAUUUACGACGGCUUCAGAAAAGGAAAAGAUACA
rnacentral:sRNA from 1 species